rnacentral:rRNA from 1 species
UUUAUUCGAAGCAACGCGAAGAACCUUACCAGGUCUUGACAUCCUCUGAAAACCCUAAAAAUAAGGCUUUUCCUUCGGGAGCAAAGUGACAGGUGGUGCAUGGUUGUCGUCAGCUCGUGUCGUGAGAUGUUGGGUUAAGUAMCCGCAACGAGCGCAACCCUUGAUCUUAGUUGCCAUCAUUAAGUUGGGCACUCUAAAGUGACUGCCGGUGACAAACCGGAGGAAAGUGGGGAUGACAUCUAAUCAUCAUGCCCCUUAUGACCUGGGCUACACACGUGCUACAAUGGACGGUACAAAGAGCUGCAAGACCGCGAGGUGUAGCUAAUCUCAUAAAACCGUUCUCA